rnacentral:rRNA from 1 species
UACGAAGGGGGCUAGCGUUGCUCGGAAUUACUGGGCGUAAAGCGCACUUAGGCUGUCUUUUAAGUCGGUGGUGAAAUCCUGGAGCUCAACUCCAGAACUGCCUUCGAUACUGGAAGACUUGAGUCCGGGAGAGGUGAGUGGAACUGCGAGUGUAGAGGUGAAAUUCGUAGAUAUUCGCAAGAACACCAGUGGCGAAGGCGACUUACUGGACACAUAUUGACGCUGAGGUGCGAAAGCGUGGGGAGCAAACAGG